GACCUUUGCAAGUUUCAGGUAUGCCCAACCUGCCAUAUCUCUAUGCUGCGGAUUUUAUCAAUGUCUUACAAGAAAAACAUGCAUCCAACACCUACGCAAAAAUGAAGAAAGCACCAGGGGUACAUACUGCCCAGGAAUGGAGCCAUCGCCUCCUUCUGAGUAUAUUACCUGCUUAGGUGAUCUUUACAGUAUUUCCUGGAUGGAAGACAGCAGCCGUGUGUGCACUGCUUGUGCUGGACACCCAUCUGGAGGCCCCUGAUUGGAAGGGAAGCCACUGGAAAUGCUGCGGGAGAUGGUGGCGGUACGCUGGUAGAGCUGGGAGCAGACGUGGAGGGGUCGGACCUGCAGGUCCUUGAAGGUGCUGAUAUACAUAGGUGCUUUGAGAAAAAAAAUCAGUUAGGAUGAUGCGGUGCUUACGGGAGGUAGAUGGUGAAUAGAGAGGGUGGGAGAGAGAAGGAGAGGGAGCGAUAGACAUAUAUGCAUUAUAUUCAUAGGUGCAGUCGAAAACUCAAAUCAAAGGCCCGUGGCAACGUGCGGGCAUUCUACUGGUUUUUGAACUUCCGUUUCUUGGUCAAGUGACAUUUAAAGUUUGCACUUCCUAGACAAAAGAAUUGGUAAAAUACAGUGAUUUAGUUACUUUCUUGGUCUCAGUUAAUGUACUUCUGUUGAAUUCUUCUGUCACUCUUGAUACAAAGCUAUAGCUAUACUUCCAUUUGCCAAGAUGAUAAAAUUGGUAAAAUACAGUGAUUUAGUUACUUUCAGAUUUUGGUAUUUUCUAAGAAGUGCUCCACAAAUAACUAAACAAGCUUGUAUUUUCUCUAUUCCUAAUGCCUCAGUUGGUAGUCUCGCCUCAGCCACCACAUCUCACCACUCCUAUCUCUCGCCCGCCACUUCCAUUUGCCACUGAAAUGCUGCUAUUUUAAGAAUUGAAGAGAUUGCCUUUUCAUUUUAUAAAAUAUUCCUGUUUCAUUGUACCAUCUGAAGUGACCAAGCAUGAUCAU